UACGAAGGGGCUAGCGUUGCUCGGAAUGACUGGGCGUAAAGGGCGCGUAGGCGGUUGGUACAGUCAGAUGUGAAAUUCCCGGGCUCAACCUGGGGGCUGCAUUUGAUACGUGCUGGCUUGAGUGAGGAAGAGGGUCGUGGAAUUCCCAGUGUAGAGGGUGAAAUUCGUAGAUAUUGGGAAGAACACCGGUGGCGAAGGCGGCGACCUGGUCCUUUACUGGACGCUGAGGCGCGAAAGCGUGGGGAGCAAACAGG
rnacentral:rRNA from 1 species